rnacentral:rRNA from 1 species
UACGGAGGAUCCAAGCGUUAUCCGGAUUUAUUGGGUUUAAGGGUGCGUAGGCGGCCUGUUAAGUCAGGGGUGAAAGACGGUAGCUCAACUAUCGCAGUGCCUUUGAUACUGACGGGCUUGAAUGCAGCUGAGGUAGGCGGAAUGUGACAAGUAGCGGUGAAAUGCAUAGAUAUGUCACAGAACACCGAUUGCGAAGGCAGCUUACUAAAGUGUGAUUGACGCUGAGGCACGAAAGCGUGGGGAUCAAACAGG